rnacentral:lncRNA from 1 species
GGGCAGAAUACAUCAGACUAAUCAGAAUGAUCAAUCAAAUAGUCACAUAACAAUCUAAAAUGUCGCUCCUAGUUGAAUUUCGACACUGUGUAGAGGACACCUCUUAACAGGUUCAAAUUCUGUAUCCUGUAAAGUUUUUUUUACAUUUUAUUCUUAUGGAGUUGGUCUGUAAUUGGCUUGUUAAAACUGGUCAAUGUUGCUGACGUUUGCUGUAUAUGGACUACACAAUCACCAUGGUCCCGUGGGAUCUCAGUCCUAUGGAUAACAGGCUAUCCUUGGUUGAGAUUCCCGUUGGGUGGUGCAUUUUGGGAUAGCAACAAAAAUGUCUUUAUUUAAAUCCUUCAAUGAUGAUCAAAUUUGGAAUGAUGCCAUAGAAACACUGUGUGACAUCACUGAUGACAUAAAUGUGCACAAAGUCACAAAACACUCAUCAUCUGACAAUAAUAGAUCUCAAGUUGCCAUUUUGAUGAUGCCAUUGCAGCAUAAUAUUCUGGCUAAAUCAACUGGUGAAACCAAUGGUAAAAUUGGAUACAAAAAGCCAAUAGAUUCCAAAAGCUAUAAUGAAUUAUAUGUCAUUACUAGCAGUGAC